UGAGGAAUAUUGGGCAAUGCCCGCAAGGGUGACCCAGCAACGCCGCGUGGAGGAUGAAUGUCGUAAGAUUGUAAACUCCUGUUAGAGGGGAAGAAUAGUACCGGUUGGACCGGUAUAUGACUGUACCCUCAGAGAAAGCCCCGGCUAACUACGUGCCAGCAGCCGCGGUAAUACGUAGGGGGCAAGCGUUGUCCGGAUUUACUGGGUGUAAAGGGCGCGCAGGCGGGAUAAAAAGUCAGUGGUGAUAUCCUACAGCUUAACUGUAGAACUGCCUCUGAUACUUUUAUUCUUGAGUUCGGGAGAGAGAGACGGAAUUCCAGGUGUAGUGGUGAAAUACGUAGAUAUCUGGAAGAACACCAGUUGCGAAGGCGGUCUCUUGGUCCGACACUGACGCUGAGGCGCGAAAGCGUGGGGAGCAAACA
rnacentral:rRNA from 1 species